rnacentral:rRNA from 1 species
AUUGAACGCUGGCGGCAUGCUUUACACAUGCAAGUCGAACGGUAACAGGGAGCUUGCUCCGCUGACGAGUGGCGAACGGGUGAGUAAUAUAUCGGAACGUACCCAAGAGUGGGGGAUAACGUAGCGAAAGUUACGCUAAUACCGCAUACGAUCCAAGGAUGAAAGUGGGGGACCGCAAGGCCUCAUGCUCCUGGAGCGGCCGAUAUCUGAUUAGCUAGUUGGUGAGGUAAAGGCUCACCAAGGCAACGAUCAGUAGCUGGUCUGAGAGGACGACCAGCCACACUGGGAGUGAGACACGGCCCAGACUCCUACGGGAGGCAGCAGUGGGGAAUUUUGGACAAUGGGGGCAACCCUGAUCCAGCAAUGCCGCGUGAGUGAAGAAGGCCUUCGGGUUGUAAAGCUCUUUUGUCAGGGAAGAAACGGGAGUGGCUAAUAUCCAUUUCUAAUGACGGUACCUGAAGAAUAAGCACCGGCUAACUACGUGCCAGCCGCCGCGGUAA